rnacentral:tRNA from 1 species
UUUUUUAUGGCUGAGUAUAAGCGAUAGAUUUUUAAUCUAUUGAGGAAUAAUUUCU